rnacentral:rRNA from 1 species
CAGUACCGUGAGGGAAAGGCGAAAAGAACCCCGGCGAGGGGAGUGAAAAAGAACCUGAAACCGUGUACGUACAAGCAGUGGGAGCCUCUUAAUGGGGUGACUGCGUACCUUUUGUAUAAUGGGUCAGCGACUUAUAUUCUGUAGCAAGGUUAACCGAAUAGGGGAGCCGAAGGGAAACCGAGUCUUAACUGGGCGUUAAGUUGCAGGGUAUAGACCCGAAACCCGGUGAUCUAGCCAUGGGCAGGUUGAAGGUUGGGUAACACUAACUGGAGGACCGAACCGACUAAUGUUGAAAAAUUAGCGGAUGACUUGUGGCUGGGGGUGAAAGGCCAAUCAAACCGGGAGAUAGCUGGUUCUCCCCGAAAGCUAUUUAGGUAGCGCCUCGUGAAUUCAUCUCCGGGGGUAGAGCACUGUUUCGGCAAGGGGGUCAUCCCGACUUACCAACCCGAUGCAAACUGCGAAUACCGGAGAAUGUUAUCACGGGAGACACACGGCGGGUGCUAACGUCCGUCGUGAAGAGGGAAACAACCCAGACCGCCAGCUAAGGUCCCAAAGUCAUGGUUAAGUGGGAAACGAUGUGGGAAGGCCCAGACAGCCAGGAUGUUGGCUUAGAAGCAGCCAUCAUUUAAAGAAAGCGUAAUAGCUCACUGGUCGAGUCGGCCUGCGCGGAAGAUGUAACGGGGCUAAACCAUGCACCGAAGCUGCGGCAGCGACGCUUAUGCGUUGUUGGGUAGGGGAGCGUUCUGUAAGCCUGUGAAGGUGUGCUGUGAGGCAUGCUGGAGGUAUCAGAAGUGCGAAUGCUGACAUAAGUAACGAUAAAGCGGGUGAAAAGCCCGCUCGCCGGAAGACCAAGGGUUCCUGUCCAACGUUAAUCGGGGCAGGGUGAGUCGACCCCUAAGGCGAGGCCGAAAGGCGUAGUCGAUGGGAAACAGGUUAAUAUUCCUGUACUUGGUGUUACUGCGAAGGGGGGACGGAGAAGGCUAUGUUGGCCGGGCGACGGUUGUCCCGGUUUAAGCGUGUAGGCUGGUUUUCCAGGCAAAUCCGGAAAACCAAGGCUGAGGCGUGAUGACGAGGCACUACGGUGCUGAAGCAACAAAUGCCCUGCUUCCAGGAAAAGCCUCUAAGCAUCAGGUAACAUCAAAUCGUACCCCAAACCGACACAGGUGGUCAGGUAGAGAAUACCAAGGCGCUUGAGAGAACUCGGGUGAAGGAACUAGGCAAAAUGGUGCCGUAACUUCGGGAGAAGGCACGCUGAUAUGUAGGUGAAGCGACUUGCUCGUGGAGCUGAAAUCAGUCGAAGAUACCAGCUGGCUGCAACUGUUUAUUAAAAACACAGCACUGUGCAAACACGAAAGUGGACGUAUACGGUGUGACGCCUGCCCGGUGCCGGAAGGUUAAUUGAUGGGGUUAGCGGUAACGCGAAGCUCUUGAUCGAAGCCCCGGUAAACGGCGGCCGUAACUAUAACGGUCCUAAGGUAGCGAAAUUCCUUGUCGGGUAAGUUCCGACCUGCACGAAUGGCGUAAUGAUGGCCAGGCUGUCUCCACCCGAGACUCAGUGAAAUUGAACUCGCUGUGAAGAUGCAGUGUACCCGCGGCAAGACGGAAAGACCCCGUGAACCUUUACUAUAGCUUGACACUGAACAUUGAGCCUUGAUGUGUAGGAUAGGUGGGAGGCUUUGAAGUGUGGACGCCAGUCUGCAUGGAGCCGACCUUGAAAUACCACCCUUUAAUGUUUGAUGUUCUAACGUGGGCCCCUAAUCGGGGUUGCGGACAGUGUCUGGUGGGUAGUUUGACUGGGGCGGUCUCCUCCUAAAGAGUAACGGAGGAGCACGAAGGUUGGCUAAUCCUGGUCGGACAUCAGGAGGUUAGUGCAAUGGCAUAAGCCAGCUUGACUGCGAGCGUGACGGCGCGAGCAGGUGCGAAAGCAGGUCAUAGUGAUCCGGUGGUUCUGAAUGGAAGGGCCAUCGCUCAACGGAUAAAAGGUACU